rnacentral:rRNA from 1 species
CCUACGGGUGGCAGCAGUGGGGAAUAUUGGACAAUGGGCGAAAGCCUGAUCCAGCCAUGCCGCGUGUGUGAAGAAGGCCUUCGGGUUGUAAAGCACUUUCAGUGGGGAAGAAAGCCUUGGGGCUAAUACCCUCGAGGAAGGACAUCACCCACAGAAGAAGCACCGGCUAACUCCGGGCCAGCAGCCGCGGUAAUACGGAGGGUGCGAGCGUUAAUCGGAAUUACUGGGCGUAAAGCGCGCGUAGGCGGUCUGAUAAGCCGGUUGUGAAAGCCCCGGGCUCAACCUGGGAACGGCAUCCGGAACUGUCAGGCUAGAGUGCAGGAGAGGAAGGUAGAAUUCCCGGUGUAGCGGUGAAAUGCGUAGAGAUCGGGAGGAAUACCAGUGGCGAAGGCGGCCUUCUGGACUGACACUGACGCUGAGGUGCGAAAGCGUGGGUAGCAAACAGGAUUAGAUACCCUAGUAGUC